UACGUAGGGGGCGAGCGUUGUCCGGAGUUACUGGGCGUAAAGGGCACGCAGGCGGUGCGGCGCGUUUCGCGUGACAGCGGAGGGCUUAACUCUCCGAGGAUGCGAAAGACGGCGGCACUUGAGGGCCAGAGAGGGACACGGAAUUCCCGGUGUAGUGGUGAAAUGCGUAGAUAUCGGGAGGAACACCAGUGGCGAAGGCGGUUAGCUGGCCUGUAACUGACACUGAGGCGCGAAGGCUAGGGGAGCGAACAGG
rnacentral:rRNA from 1 species